AUUGAACGCUGGCGGCGUGCUUAACACAUGCAAGUCGAUCGGUAACAGGUGUAGCAAUACAUGCUGACGAGAGGCGGACGGGUGAGGAAUAUUUGGGAAUCUGCCCAUCAGCGGGGGACAACCCGGGGAAACUCGGGCUAAUACCGCAUACGCUCUACGGAGGAAAGCCGGGGACCGGCAGGCCUGGCACUGAUGGAUGAGCCCAAAUCGGAUUAGCUAGUUGGCGGGGUAACGGCCCACCAAGGCGACGAUCCGUAGCUGGUCUGAGAGGACGAUCAGCCACACCGGAACUGAGACACGGUCCAGACUCCUACGGGAGGCAGCAGUGGGGAAUAUUGGACAAUGGGGGAAACCCUGAUCCAGCGACGCCGCGUGGGUGAAGAAGGCCUGCGGGUUGUAAAGCCCUUUCGGUAGGGAAGAAAUCUCUUGUCUUAACAAGGCAGGAGUUUGACUUAACCUACAUAAGAAGCACCGGCUAACUCUGUGCCAGCCGCCGCCGUAAGAC
rnacentral:rRNA from 1 species